UACGAAGGGGGCUAGCGUUGCUCGGAAUCACUGGGCGUAAAGCGCACGUAGGCGGCUUUUUAAGUCAGGGGUGAAAUCCUGGAGCUCAACUCCAGAACUGCCUUUGAUACUGAGAAGCUUGAGUCCGGGAGAGGUGAGUGGAACUGCGAGUGUAGAGGUGAAAUUCGUAGAUAUUCGCAAGAACACCGAUGGCGAAGGCAGCCC
rnacentral:rRNA from 1 species